CCUACGGGCGGCAGCAGUGGGGAAUAUUGGACAAUGGGGGCAACCCUGAUCCAGCCAUGCCGCGUGUGUGAAGAAGGCCCUCGGGUUGUAAAGCACUUUCAGUGAGGAAGAACGCCUGGUGGUUAAUACCCAUCAGGAAAGACAUCACUCACAGAAGAAGCACCGGCUAACUCCGUGCCAGCAGCCGCGGUAAUACGGAGGGUGCGAGCGUUAAUCGGAAUUACUGGGCGUAAAGCGCGCGUAGGUGGCUUGAUAAGCCGGUUGUGAAAGCCCCGGGCUCAACCUGGGAACGGCAUCCGGAACUGUCAAGCUAGAGUGCAGGAGAGGAAGGUAGAAUUCCCGGUGUAGCGGUGAAAUGCGUAGAGAUCGGGAGGAAUACCAGUGGCGAAGGCGGCCUUCUGGACUGACACUGACACUGAGGUGCGAAAGCGUGGGUAGCAAACAGGUUUAGAUACCCCUGUAGUC
rnacentral:rRNA from 1 species